rnacentral:tRNA from 2 species
GCUCCGGUAGCUCAGUUGGUCAGAGCAGGACCCUUAUAAGGUCCCGGUGAAGGUUCAAUUCCUUCCCGGAGCA